rnacentral:rRNA from 1 species
CCUACGGGGAGCAGCAGUCGAGAAUCAUUCACAAUGGGGGAAACCCUGAUGGUGCGACGCCGCGUGGGGGAAUGAAGGUCUUCGGAUUGUAAACCCCUGUCAUGUGGGAGCAAAUUAAAAAGAUAGUACCACAAGAGGAAGAGACGGCUAACUCUGUGCCAGCAGCCGCGGUAAUACAGAGGUCUCAAGCGUUGUUCGGAAUCACUGGGCGUAAAGCGUGCGUAGGCUGUUUCGUAAGUCGUGUGUGAAAGGCGCGGGCUCAACCCGCGGACGGCACAAGAUACUGCGAGACUAGAGUAAUGGAGGGGGAACCGGAAUUCUCGGUGUAGCAGUGAAAUGCGGAGAUAUCGAGAGGAACACUCGUGGCGAAGGCGGGUUCCUGGACAUUAACUGACGCUGAGGCACGAAGGCCAGGGGAGCGAAAGGGAUUAGAUACCCGUGUAGUC